UACGAAGGUGGCUAGCGUUGUUCGGAAUCACUGGGCGUAAAGCGCGCGUAGGCGGCGAUUCAAGUCAGAGGUGAAAUGCCCAGGCUUAACCUGGGAACUGCCUUUGAAACUGUAUCGCUAGAGUACUGGAGGGGAGUGGGGAAUUCCUAAUGUAGAGGUGAAAUUCGUAGAUAUUAGGAGGAACACCGGUGGCGAAGGCGCCACUCUGGACAGUUACUGACGCUGAGGCGCGAAAGCGUGGGGAUCAAACAGG
rnacentral:rRNA from 1 species